rnacentral:rRNA from 1 species
ACGUGGCGGCGUGCUACCAUGCAAGUCGAACGAUGAACACCGGAGCUUGCUCUGGUGGGAUUAGCCUUGAACGGGUGAGUAACACGUGAGCAAUCUGCCCCCGACUCUGGGAUAACCCCGAGAAAUCGGAGCUAAUACCGGAUACGACACCUCCUGGCAUCAGGUGGGUGUGGAAAGAAUUUCGGUUGGGGAUGAGCUCGCGGCCUAUCAGCUUGUUGGUGAGGUAAUGGCUCACCAAGGCGACGACGGGUAGCCGGCCUGAGAGGGUGACCGGCCACACUGGGACUGAGACACGGCCCAGACUCCUACGGGAGGCAGCAGUGGGGAAUAUUGCACAAUGGGCGCAAGCCUGAUGCAGCAACGCCGCGUGGGGGACGACGGCCUUCGGGUUGUAAACCUCUUUUGGCAGGGAAGAAGCGAAAGUGACGGUACCUGCAGAAAAAGCACCGGCUAACUACGUGCCAGCAGCCGCGGUAAUACGUAGGGUGCAAGCGUUGUCCGGAAUUAUUGGGCGUAAAGAGCUCGUAGGCGGUGUGUCACGUCUGCUGUGAAAAUCCAAGGCUCAACCUUGGACUUGCAGUGGGUACGGGCACACUCGAGUGCGGUAGGGGAGAUUGGAAUUCCUGGUGUAGCGGUGGAAUGCGCAGAUAUCAGGAGGAACACCGAUGGCGAAGGCAGAUCUCUGGGCCGUAACUGACGCUGAGGAGCGAAAGCGUGGGGAGCGAACAGGAUUAGAUACCCUGGUAGUCCACGCCGUAAACGGUGGGAACUAGAUGUGGGGUCCGUUCCACGGAUUCCGUGUCGCAGCUAACGCAUUAAGGUCCCCCGCCUGGGGAGUACGGCCCGCAGGCUAAAACUCAAAAGAAUUGACGGGGGCCCGCACAAGCGGGCGAGCAUGCGGAUUAUUCGAUGCAACGCGAAGAACCUUACCAAGGCUUGGCUAUAGAAGGAAAAGGGCAAAGAUGCCCUCCCCCAAGGGCUCUAUCGGGGGUGCAUGGGGUGUCCUCACUUCGGGUCUGGAAAUGUUGGGUUAAUCCCGGCACAAGGCCACCCCUCCCCUAUGUGCCCCCCCUAAGGGGAAAACCCAGGAAAACGGCGG